UCUGACUUUUCCUGCAUUGCUUAGAGCCAGCUGAAGAGAGAAUUAUCAUAGCCAGUACACCAGUAUGUGGGAAUAAGACUGUGUACACCAGUAUGUGGGAAUAAGACUUAACAGCUGUUGCAGCAGUUCUGAAUUCAGGAGGUGCCCAUGUAGUCUUUGUUUUUCUAGAAGCUGGAAUUCUUGGAACCACAUUGUGGUGAUCCACCAAUAAAGUAAGAAGGUAAUGGUACCUUCUCAGUUCCAGUGGGGAAUGGGAUAAUUUAUUAGUUUUGUAAACAAUUUAUUCUUGGUCUUUCUGAUGGGGUAAAUUUUUAAUGUUUUGGGUGUUGAAAGACAUUCACUUUCAUUUUUUUUCACUUUGUUUUUAAUUUUCCACUCCAUUUUUUGUUUGACAGAACUUUAUAUUUCUGUCUGAGACUAUGCAUUGGUAUAGGACCCUAUUUUAUCAAUAAAUAUGAAUGGUUAAAAGUGGAAAAGAAUGUUAGACUUGAAGUAAAUCAGUGGGAGAGAUACACUGCUAACCACAAGACUUUAAAAGGAGACACGACAUUUCAGCAGCAACAAGAAUCUAAGAAUUACAAAUGUGUCUUGUGUUUAAACAGCCUCAAAGUACCAGCAACAGCAGCAGAAAGUGGGCAGCUGACAACCACACAGUGACACUAUAGGAGACUGCCUUGUGGGGACCGUGUGGGUCACCAGAUGGACAGUAGGGAGGCUGUAGGUCUCCACACAAUAGCCAGCACCUGAAAUGUUCAUGACCCUGUUCCUUGUGAGGGAAAGAUGUGCUCACAAGGGUAGGUGGCACAAUCGUCACAACAGCAUUUCUGAUGGGUCUCAGAGGGGACAGCUGGGUGGCCACCCUGCCUUCUGUGGUGGCCUUGAGCUUUGCCUGGACACCUGGUGAACCCUGAAGCAAGGCUGUGGAGAGUAAGGCCUGUCACUAGUCUGUAAUGCUGAUUUGAUGGGGGUUGAAAGGGUGUCAAUACCAUGCAAUACCACCCACCCAAGGCACAUUGGGACCACAUUGUGGGAGAGAGAGACCCAAGGGAGAGACCUAAGGGGAGCUUCCCAUGUGCAUCCCUGUGCCUUGGUCUCAGUAAUACCGCAGCCCAGGGGCAGUCGUGCGCUUCACCCAGCUGCAACUGUGGGAAGUCGGCCAGCCAGCAGUCCCCAGUCCACAGUAUCACAGAGGAUCCUGGCCUAGUUUAGGUGCCAAGUUCUGUGGUGCUUUUUAGGCAGAACAGAUACUCAUGUACAGAAAUGGAUGCUGCGGUCACAGAAAGUAGAACAUGUGGCACUGGCUAUGAGAUCUACAGGCAGGGCCUCAAGGAGACUACUGUAGCUUAAAGAGCACCCAGACACUAGAGACUCAAGGACAGUGAACAAAAUGCCUCUGACACCUGGAGUUGCUUCGUACCCCCACAAGCAGCUGAGAGGGUCGCACCGUCUCAUGUUCACAGAGUAAGGGUGCUUGCCUUCCUUGGGUCCACACUGAAACAUUCUGGUCACCAGCAAAGAAUUUCAGUGUAAGAAAUGGCUUUGUGGCCAAGUGCAAAGCCCAAAAUAUUUUCAGUAUUUUAAGGCUUUAGUAUGUGACACAGAAGAGUGCCUGCUAAUGUCCCCAAGCAGGCCUGCCUGAGGGUGAAGGUCUGUCCCAGAGUGGAGCUUCUUUAGUCUAAUUUGUGCAUCCUGGCAGAAAGGAAGCUCAUUUUGUCUAAAGAAACAACCAAACUGAGUAACUUGUUAUGCCAAAAGUAUGGGAGGCAAGAUAAAGAAAAAAUAUAAGCACAAGACAGUUAAGCUAGUUAUACAGCCAGUUUGUCUUGGUUCAUUGAAGGGAAAGUUGUGCUAGUAAUUUUCUGGACAAGUGUUUCAUAUCUAUCUUAUACCUGAACAACUACUGUCACUAUAACAAUAAGCAAUGUGUUGAUUAUUGUUACUCUCCUACUACCCUGUUUUGAAACUGUUUUACUGUUACUUUUUUUUUUUUUUUGUACCGAGGAUUGAACUCAUGACAGGCACUUUUGCCACUGAGUUAAAUCCCUGGCUCUUCUUAAUUUUUAAAAAUAAAAAUAAAUAAAAAAUAGAACAGAUCACUGACAUUAAGUGGGGAAAACAUCAUUCACCCUGUGAAGUUCAUACACUACAGAUAAUUUUAGGGCUUAAAAAAAUUGAUAGGGGUAGUUACAGUUUUUUUUUUUUUUUUUGAGACAGGGUCUUGCCAUGUAAAUGCAGUCUGGAAGUCACUACAUAGCCCAAACUGGGCUUGAACUCACAGUGAUCCUCCUGCUACAGUUUCCUGAGUGUGCAGGGAUUACAAGUGUGACACCAUGCCCUGCAGGGCUAUGUAUUUUAAAGCAACGUGUAUUCUAAAUUGACUUCUGUGUUAGAAAAAUAACUUUUAAAAUACUUUAUUUUGACUUAAUUGUGGCAAAAUGAAUACUAUUAAGCACAAAGUCAGGAUGACAAACAUUUGCAGAUCUUGUGAUCCUGGGCCGGUCACUGUUCCUAGAAUUCACUUUUUAAAAAUGUUGGCAAAUCUUUCCCUCACUCAGCAUCAGGACAGAAGGAGCAUGAGCGCAGACUCUAGGUGACAGACUUGCCAUAACUGAGACACUGAGUAGAAGACACCGCCAGGAAGACCAUUACUUCUCCAGCCAGGUGCACCAGGUGACCUUGCCGAGGGCCCCGCCCACCCGCUCAGCUCCAUUCUCCUAGCUUUUCCGGAAACGAAGACACCUCCCGACACCGCCCAGUGUGUGGCGGCUCCCGGGUCCAGGGUUACUGAACGCAUCCUGCGCCAUAAGGCCAGGGCCAUGUGGGGCCAGGCUUUCCACCUUUCAAGACUGUUCUGCCCCUGUUCCCUCAGGUGGGGUUUCUGUUCGCGGAGUGCGCUUCCCAAAAGCCGCAGCACCUGCUUAACCGGAAAGACAAGGAGGCCACCAUCCCGUGCUCUGAUCUCCCAACUCGCUCUUUCUGGAAACCGGGUCUCGGGAAAACUCCGGUGAACUCGAACUGGCGUUGGCAGCAGGCUGGGCAAAAGAAACCCAGUUAAGUACAACCGCCACCCAGGAAGACGUGCGCACGUGUCACUAACGCAGCGGGACUCAACGCCACAGAGCGGAGCCCCAGAGCUCGGGGAGCAGCCGGCAGAGCGCCUCUUUCCCCUAAUUCCGUGGGAAGUCGCGGAAGCGGCGCAUGCGCAGAAGCCCUAUCCUCAAGGUCCGGUACAGAUGACGUAGCUGGAGAGCCUACUUUCCCACGGGACAGGCGGCAUCGCGGGACCCGGGAGGCUGCUUCUCCACUUCCGGAAGGGUGGCUCGGCUGCCAGCGUGGCCUGUUCGCUGGUAGUGGUCACUCCUGAUCAGUGCCUCAUUGGAGGAGUUGGCGUUUUACUAGAUGCUGGUUUUACAGUCCAGGACAUUGUGGGAAUAAUGUGAAAUUUCGAAUGUGGGCAUGCAGUGCUUUAACUUUUUAGUUUGGCUAAAUGGCAUUGCAGUUAUUCGAUCCAUUUGUUUUAGUGCAUUUUAAAGCAUGAAAAGUCUCUGUUGUAUUUAAUUCGUUUUAUUCUUGAGACAGGGUCUUUGUAGUUCAGGCUGGCCUUGAACUUUCUGUGUAGUCCAGGUUUGCCUCGAACUAGGAGGGAUCCUCCUGAGUGCCAGGUUUACAGGUGUGCACCACCACGUCCAGCUCAAAGUCUCUAUGAUGGUUUGUGUCUGGGUACUCUCCCCUAAAGCCUCAUGCAGUCAUGGAGGCCACUGAGUCUAGUGUUGGGAUUGGUGAUGUGAAUGCUGCAUUCUGCUAGGGGCAGGUGCCAGCAUACAGGAUAAGGGAGAGAAGGAGAUGUGCGUUCCACUUUUGCCCUUUUCACUCAUGUUGCUGUGGCCUCCAUGAACAGCUCCCUCUCAGCUUCGUCACUGUCUUGGAGCCAGCUGAGUAUAGACUGAAACUUCCAAAAACUGUGAGCUAAAUAAACAUUUUCUUCCUUCA